rnacentral:rRNA from 1 species
AGAGAGAGACAUGCGUGCAUAUCAAUAAGCGGAGGAAAAGGCUGCGGAACUGAACGACCGCUACCUACGCUUAGGAUGUUGAAGUCAUCGUAUCGCGCGUGCUUGAUCUAUACAUGACUCUGCGCAUAUCAAUAAGCGGAGGAAAAGAAACUAACUAGGAUUCCCUCAGUAACGGCGAGUGAAGCGGGAAGAGCUCAAAUUUGAAAUCUUCAAGGUUCUACCUUGACGAAUUGUAGUUUAAAGAAGUGUUUUCUGUUGGAGUUUUGGUAAAAGUUCUUUGGAAUAGGACAUCAUAGAGGGUGAGAAUCCCGUAUUUGACCUUUACUUUCAACUUUGUGAUACACUUUCAAAGAGUCGGAUUGUUUGGGAAUGCAGUCCAAAAUGGGUGGUAAAUUUCAUCUAAAGCUAAAUAUUGGCGAGAGACCGAUAGCGAACAAGUACCGUGAGGGAAAGAUGAAAAGAACUUUGAAAAGAGAGUUAAACAGUACGUGAAAUUGUCAAAAGGGAAGCGUUUGACACCAGUGUUGUUUUCUCGAAAAUCAAUUAAAAAAGGCAGGAUUUUGUGUUGUAUUGACUUUAUCAGCUUUCUGCACUCUUUUCUUGUCUUUUUUAAUGCACUUUUCGUUUAACAAGUCAACAUCAAUUUCUUUUGUUGUAAAAGGGUCAUUGGAAGGUGGCUUUCACUUCGGUGAAAGUGUUUAUAGCCUUUGAUCUCUGCAAUCGGAGAGACUGAGGUCUGCAGCGUAGAUCCUUCGGGGUUAGAUACAUUUGUGCUAAGUUAUAACUUUUCAUAGACAACUUGUUGACUAUGUUUAGUCAUGUAGCUUACUCGCUUAUGCUAUUUUACCUACGCUUAGGAUGUUGAUAUCGCGCUCUCACUG